rnacentral:sRNA from 4 species
AUAGGAAUCCAUACCAGUUUGCCGCCGUGUGCUGGUUGGCACUCAACACGUGUGAGAUCGUGGAGGAGACCUACUUCGUUUCUCACCAUCUGAAGUAACUAUCCAAUACGGAACCUGCCACAGUUUCGGGGGCGGGCGAUUUUUCGUCCGCUGCACUAUUAACAAGGGAGAGAGAAA